rnacentral:rRNA from 1 species
GACGAACGCUGGCGGCGUGCCUAAUACAUGCAAGUCGAACGAAGCUGUUUUAACUGGUGCUUGCACCGACUUAAACAACUGAGUGGCGAACGGGUGAGUAACACGUGGGUAACCUGCCCCAAAGCGGGGGAUAACAUUUGGAAACAGAUGCUAAUACCGCAUAACCACAGAAACCACAUGGUUUCUGUGUCAAAGAUGGUUUCGGCUAUCACUUUGGGAGGGACCCGCGGCGUAUUAGCUAGUUGGUAAGGUAAUGGCUUACAAAGGCAAUGAUACGUAGCCGAACUGAGAGGUUGAUCGGCCACAUUGGGACUUAGACACGGCCCAAACUCCUACGGGAGGCAGCAGUAGGGAAUCUUCCACAAUGGACGAAAGUCUGAUGGAGCAACGCCGCGUGAGUGAAGAAGGUUUUCGGAUCGUAAAACUCUGUUGUCAGAGAAGAACGUGUGCGAGAGUAACUGCUCGUGCAGUGACGGUAUCUGGCCAGAAAGCCACGGCUAACUACGUGCCAGCAGCCGCAGUAA